AUUGAACGCUGGCGGAAUGCUUUACACAUGCAAGUCGAACGGCAGCACGGGGCAACCUGGUGGCGAGUGGCGAACGGGUGAGUAAUACAUCGGAACGUGCCCAAUCGUGGGGGAUAACGUAGCGAAAGUUACGCUAAUACCGCAUACGAUCUACGGAUGAAAGCGGGGGAUCGCAAGACCUCGCGCGAAUGGAGCGGCCGAUGUCAGAUUAGGUAGUUGGUGGGGUAAAGGCUCACCAAGCCAACGAUCUGUAGCUGGUCUGAGAGGACGACCAGCCACACUGGAACUGAGACACGGUCCAGACUCCUACGGGAGGCAGCAGUGGGGAAUUUUGGACAAUGGGCGCAAGCCUGAUCCAGCCAUUCCGCGUGCAGGAUGAAGGCCUUCGGGUUUGUAAACUGCUUUUGUACGGAACGAAACGGUCUGCCCUAAUACGGCGGGCUAAUGACGGUACCGUAAGAAUAAGCACCGGCUAACUACGUG
rnacentral:rRNA from 1 species